rnacentral:rRNA from 1 species
ACGCUCGACACCUACGGGGGGCAGCAGUUGGGAAUAUUGGACAAUGGAGGAAACUCUGAUCCAGUGACGCCGCGUGAAGGAAGAAGGUCUUCGGAUUGUAAACUUAUUUUGUCAGGGAAGAAAAAAUGACUGUACCUGAAGAAAAAGCACCGGCUAACUACGUGUCAGCAGCCGCGGUAAUCUGAGCGGGCUGGCAAGGC